rnacentral:rRNA from 1 species
GACGAACGCUGGCGGCGUGCCUAAUACAUGCAAGUAGAACGCACAGUUUAUACCGUAGCUUGCUACACCAUAGACUGUGAGUUGCGAACGGGUGAGUAACGCGUAGGUAACCUGCCUGGUAGCGGGGGAUAACUAUUGGAAACGAUAGCUAAUACCGCAUAAUAUUAAUUAUUGCAUGAUAAUUAAUUGAAAGGUGCAAUUGCACCACUACCAGAUGGACCUGCGUUGUAUUAGCUAGUAGGUGAGGUAACGGCUCACCUAGGCGACGAUACAUAGCCGACCUGAGAGGGUGAUCGGCCACACUGGGACUGAGACACGGCCCAGACUCCUACGGGAGGCAGCAGUAGGGAAUCUUCGGCAAUGGACGAAAGUCUGACCGAGCAUCGCCGCGUGAGUGAAGAAGGGUUUCGGAUCGUAAAGCUCUGUUGUAAGAGAAGAACGGGUGUGAGAGUGGAAAGUUCACACUGUGACGGUAUCUUACCAGAAAGGGACGGCUAACUACGUG